UACGGGAGGCAGCAGUGGGGAAUAUUGCACAAUGGGCGCAAGCCUGAUGCAGCCAUGCCGCGUGUAUGAAGAAGGCCUUCGGGUUGUAAAGUACUUUCAGUCGUGAGGAAGGUGUUAAGGCUAAUAACCUUAGCAAUUGACGUUAGCGACAGAAGAAGCACCGGCUAACUCCGUGCCAGCAGCCGCGGUAAUACGGAGGGUGCGAGCGUUAAUCGGAAUUACUGGGCGUAAAGGGCACGCAGGCGGUUAAUUAAGUUGGAUGUGAAAUCCCCGAGCUUAACCUGGGAAUGGCAUUCAAGACUGGUUAGCUAGAGUCUUGUAGAGGGGGUAGAAUUCCAUGUGUAGCGGUGAAAUGCGUAGAGAUGUGGAGGAAUACCGGUGGCGAAGGCGGCCCCCUGGGACAAAGACUGACGCUCAUGUGCGAAAGCGUGGGGAGCAAACAGGGAUUAGAUACC
rnacentral:rRNA from 1 species